UCAAGUAGCGUAAACCUGAUGUACGUAGUUGACUUAUAACCCAGUUUAAGAAACUUGGCAAGAGCUGGCCUUCAUUUGACUAAUUGCGUCCCAGACUGUCGUUCGUACUGAAGGUUCUGUUGGUUUCUUGUCUGCACAGUUGCUUAAGCAGAGGCUCCUUCAUUCGGCCAAGAUUAUUUUAUUCCGACAACAAGGUUAUGAAGAACUGAGCUGACAGGACAUGGUCCAAUGAUGGUAGUUGAGGACCUUUGUGUCUCAUACAAACAGGGAAAUUCUUAGCCAACUACAAAGUGCAAACAGGAGCCUGUGUGGGAAAGAUGGCUGUAUAAGCACUUUGGUGAGGAAAUGCAUGAAGAAACGGAGAGGGUCUCUGAGAUUUUGGGAAGCAGCAGAAACAAGAAACUGACGCUAGGACAAGCGUGGAGGAGGACAAGAACUAGAGUCCACUCCCGCAGGAACCUUCGAACUUCCUUCAGCACCAACACGGAUAUCACUAUCUUCUGCACCCUCUACAAGGAGGAACUUAAUUUUA